GCGAGGGUGGCGGAACUGGUAGACGCGCUGGAUUUAGGAUCCAGUGCCUUAGGGCAUGGGGGUUCGAGUCCCCCCCUUCGCACCA
rnacentral:tRNA from 1 species